CAACAAAGAAAAGCUCGCUGGGCAGCGCCAGCUGGCUCAUCUGGUAAAGGAGAACCUUGAGGCCGGGAAGCUUCCAGAUAGAGGCCGCGCGCUGGCUCAAGCAGCCCCGGGCACCUGCAGGCCUCUCCAGCCAAGGGCCAGGCCACCGUCACCAAUCGGCAGUUGUCCCAGGGGCAGAGACACAGCCCGGAUGGGUGCAGGGAACGACGGGCCUGCACGGCCCCACCGCCGGCACCGAGCCUCGCUGGCCCUGCUUCAUCUUCGUGGGCACGACGCCGCCUCGUGCACAGCGGUCUGGGGAGGACACCGCCAUGCCUCCCAAGGUCUGGACCAGCCCGGCCUGGGGUCUCUUCCAAGGACACCCGUGUCCCUCCGGCCGACAUGGCAGCCGUGAACGGAGCAGCUGUGCGGGUGUCCUGGCCGGGCCUGGCCCCCUCCCCCCAGCCCUAGCGCCGGGCCAGGGGCUCAGGGAGGUGCCUGACGACCGCCCCCACCUGGCCCAGGGCCUUGCCACGUAGGAAGAGAGAGAGGCCCGUUGGUUACGUCGUCGAAAACACUGGCGGGAAGUCACAUUUCCCUUUUGUGGAGGCAGCUGAGAGGCCUGGCCUGAACUCCGGGGUCUCCAGGGCUUACGCCCAAGAGACAGGGGCUGGUGACCGGCCUCCCCUACCCUCCAGCUUAUGGGGAGCUCGGGAGCUUCCCAAAGAGCUCAGCCCCACCCUCCCUCACACCCGGGGGGCUCCCGGGUGCCUCCAAUAAAGCCCCAGCCCCUCCCCACCAGCUCCGGGGCCCUGAGAGUCUGGCCUCCUGCCCCUCUUAUCCCUAGGCCACCGGGCUCCCCGACGCUCUCACGUGCUGACCCUCGCUGGACACGCCCGGCGUUCGCCCCCGCGCUGCCCUUCUUCACUCUCCGAGUCUUGGCUGGAGUGUUUCCUUCCCGGAGAAACUUCCCUUCAGCCACGUGGUCUGCAUCGGCUCCCCUCUUCCCAACCUCACCAUUUCCUGUUCCCUCGUUUUCCCUCACAGUGUGUGUCCUGACCACA